rnacentral:rRNA from 1 species
UACGUAGGGACCAAGCGUUGUCCGGAAUCAUUGGGCGUAAAGCGCGCGUAGGUGGCCAUUUAAGUCCGCUGUGAAAGUCAGAGGCUCAACCUUUGAAAGCCGGUGGAUACUGGAUGGCUAGAGUACGGAAGAGGCGAGUGGAAUUCCUGGUGUAGCGGUGGAAUGCGCAGAUAUCAGGAGGAACACCGGUGGUGUAGACGGCUUACUGGACCAUAACUGACGCUGAGACACGAAAGCGUGGGUAGCAAACAGG